GUGGUGGUGCUGCAGGGAGAGAGGCAGGGCAGGUAAGUUGUAACGGCCCUGUUGAUGCCCUCAUGAAGCACCGGAAGGAGGUGGUGGUGGUGCUGCUAUCGCUCGAGUUUCUAGAACCUUCAGCCAAGCCCACCGUGUCCAGGGAGGCAGCCGGCGCACUGAGUGGUGGAAUGUGGAGUGUGGACCUACUGCUGCCUGGACCCGCGCCUCUCUGCUGACACUCUCUCCCUCCCGGACUCUGGUGCCGCCACCAAGCAUGUUAAGGACUUCCUGUAGCGGCUGUGUGACUGUGGAACUCGGGGGCGGCAGGCAAGAUUCAGGCCACCACACAGCUGGCAGUGACUGCUAACGGGUGGUGGGUGAUGGGCAGUGGCUCCCGGGCUGCAGCAGUGUGCCGGCUUCCCGUGUUACCGCACAUCAACACGGACAGUCGCACACAGCCAAGACACUGAGUUACUGAGUCACAAGCAGACUAUCUGAUCGAAUAAGUCAGAGAGAGAGAGAGAGAGACGGCAGGACAACGACUGCAAGGAAGGAAGGAAAGCAGUGGAGAUCGAGAGACCUAUAAUUCAUGGUGUGUGUCCGGGGCAAAGGCUGUUGGGAGGAGAGAGAGAGGAGACGGUAAACCAAGAAGCUGGCAAGAGAGAGGAAUAAUUGUGUCAGAGAGAGAGUGUGUGUGUGUGUGUGUGUGUGUGUGUUCUUUACUGCCAGCCCACCACCACCACUAACUUGUCUUGCCUGUGUUGUCUGUGGUGGUACAUAUCGUACCCACUAAACAGUGAGUGAAGCCAACCUUUCUCUGCAAACACUUAAUGGUCACUGUGCAUAGAGAAGAUGAACCAGGAGAAAGAGAGGGGGGAUUAUUCAUUUAUUCUCUUGUUUAUCUUUUGAGUUGUGACCUUGUUGUCCCGGUGUGUGGUGUGUGCCUGGUCUCAUGCCUAUCCCAAGAUCGGAAAUAAUGAGCUCUGAGCUCGCUCCGUAGGGUAACGUCUGGUUGUCUCGUCAGAGACUGUACCAGAUCAAACAGUGAAACAGUGACUAAUUCAUUCUCUUGCUUAUGUAAAUCAUUUAUCUUUUGACCUAUUAUCAUCUUUAUCUUUAAUUUUUUUUUUCUUGAAUGAUUAAUUUUAAAAAUGGUCACUGUGCACUAAAAGGUGGCAAGAGAAUAUAGUGUGGUGUGAAGAGAAAAGAUGAGACCAGAUAGAGACUCUUGUUCUUCCAUCUGGUCUCAUCUUUUCUCUUCACCACUAAUAUCUUACUUAUCUCUAAUUCUCUUAUCUACUUGCUUUUAUCUCUAAUUAUCUUGUCUAAUUGUAUCUCUUAUCUAUCUUCAUUCACACCACACUAUAUUCUUUUGCCCCCUCUUAGUGCACAGUGAUGACCAUUUGAACCUUCUACAGGAGAGAAAUGUUGGGUUCACUCACUCAAUCAUUCAAGUUGCAUAUAAACUUUAAAUCAUUCAUGUUCUCAACUGGUGAAACAUUUGCAGUGUCUACCCAGUAACAAAGACGAGGCAAGAUAAGAUGAUGUGGUGGGGGCAGUCAUGGGCGUGCAUACUCACACUCGCCUACAUACACAUACAUACCUCAUACUUACACCCUCUAUUUCUUUCUUUCUCUCUUGAAGCGGAGUUUACCAUCACCUCUCCAUUCUUCUCAGUGGUCUUGGCUGAAGAAGACACACACUUGACAAGACAGGACUCGCUCAAGAGGAUGGCCAAACUAGCAAAAUUCUGGGGUCACCAGUGUUUAUUUGCAGCAGUACAAGUGGAUGCAGCAGUACAAGUGGAUGGGGAUGAUGAGAGAACACACCAUUGAAGAGCACACACAGAGGUUAAAGAACAUGGUGAAAGAACACACCAUGGACACAACAGAUUAAAGAACACAACCUGAAUAACAUGCAUUUCUAUUUGUGUUAAGUUAUUGUUUUGAUGCUGGUCCCUUCUUCUCUUCUCUUCUCUGCGAUAGGAGGAACCUUUUUCUUUUCUUCGCUGGUCACUUCUCUCUUCUCUCCUUUGUUCUCUUCUUGGUAGCCUUCUCACCCUACUAUCUCUAAUCUCUUCUUUGAUGAUGGUGUGUUCCCUCCUUUUGUUGCCCAGUCUGUUUCCCUGCUCCUGUGUUCUCUCUCCUCUCAUGCUGCUGUGGUGUGUCUUUGAUAAUGACUAUUCCCAUUCUUGUGUUCUCUUCCUUACUGCAAGUGUCACUUCUCUUCUCUCUUACAUGCUCUGCUGGUGCCAACUCCUCUAUACUCACUGCUCACUCUUCUUUCUCAAUGCUCUCUACUGCCCUCAAGUUGUUGCUCUUCAUAAUGUUUCUAGUUCUUUGUUAUCCUCAGUCUUGCUGUCUUAAAUCUUGGUCUCUUCAUAAUGUCUCUUCCUCUCCUCUCAGUGGUCAGGGUGGCUGGUGGUAAUGUGGAGUGCAUUAGAUAUUAAACACUACAAAAUUUAUUUAAACACUACAAAAUUUAUUAUACACACAACUAACUAAUUAUUUGUUAAUUAAUAAGAUACCUAUUAAAAGACAACACUACUACUGCUGCUACUGUUCCUGUUUACUAAUAUGUAUUGCUGAAUGAGUCUAAACUUUCUUGAAAUAGAUUGAAUAAAAUGUGCAAAUGAGAGGCA